rnacentral:lncRNA from 1 species
AAAAUAAGUGGAGAGAGCAUACGAGAUGUUGAAUCCAAAGGAUCAACAGCAGGAUAGAUACCAAGCUCAGAAAUCUAUAUUCAAUAUAUACCCAAAUAAUAUCAUUUAGUAAUUGACUAUAAUUACAAAACAAAUUAUUAUGAUUUCCACUUCAGUUUAAUUAAUAGUAACAUAAUCAAACCUGUCUAGACAACACUGUUGUAGCAUCCAAGUGAGCAAAGGUGGUAGCAGGAGCAGGAUCUGUCAAGUCAUCAGCAGGCACAUAGAUAGCCUGGACAGAUGUAAUUGAACCCUUCUUGGUGGUUGUAAUACGCUCUUGAAGACCUCCAAGAUCAGUAGACAAUGUUGGUUGGUAACCAACCGCAGAUGGAAUACGACCAAGCAGGGCAGACACCUCUGAGUUAGCCUACAGUGACAUCAGGCAUCAUAUAUCACAUCACAUGAAUAUACAAUGAUAAGGAAGGAAAAGAACAAUAUCAAUCUAUAAAACACCAUACAUAAAAACCAAACGUUACGGUUGUUCAUAGUUUGGUAAGGAAAACUAAACCAAACCCAAAAAAAAAAGUUUGCCUUAACCAAAUCGAACUGUUUCUGUUUAAUCUUGAACCAAAUUGAACUAUUUUAAUGUUCACUUCACAGGUUCUUAUGCUUCCCUACCAAACUAGUUCUAAAAUUAAAAAUUUAACUGUGUGUAGCCAUAAUAUGGUCUGUGCCAAACCGUCAUCACUUAAUUGUAAAAAAAAAAAAAAAAAAAAAAAAAGAUUCUAUCAAGCUAAUAAAUUGCAUGUUAGAGGAAAAUGAUUAUAUCAUCCUUUAUCUAUUUUCCUUGCAGUUUUGUCUUUCUAUAUAUGGAUUUUCAAGCUUAAAAUUUAAGAUUCAUACAAAAACAUAGAUGAAAGACCCAUAAAUUCGAAGAUUGAAAGGCCAUAAAAGAAAACCAUGGAUUUCAAGCUUGAAAAUUCAAAUGCAGAUGAAUCAAUAGGACAAAAAUGCAAUAAAAAAAGGACAAAGGACCAAACCAUUACCUGAAAUUAAGUUAAGGGACAAAAAAUGUAAUUUUGCUCAUUUUUUACCAACCAAAUUUAAUUUAAUUAUCAGAAACAUAUAGAACAUAAAUUAAAGAUUUAAUUUAUUUUUGGAGCUUAAUUUAUGGCAGUGUGAGCAGAAAGCAAGUAGGAAAGUCUAAACUCUGACUUUAAUUUAUUUUUUAUGCUUAAUUUAAACUAUGUAGCAAGUUUCUGACACAAACAUGGAAAAAUAGAGUGACCAAGCUUGCUGCUGCCAAUUACCAAACACGAAGAACAUGUGUUGAAAGUUACUGACGAAAACAACACAAUAUUAAAUAACCAACAGUUCGAAAACACACAGUUCAGUUUGGAAUAUAGGCGUGCACUUAAGUGAACAAACUAUUACUAAAAUCUACAGUUCAGUUUGCAUUAGUAAGUUUCGGGUGCUUGAUUUAAAGUUUGGUGCUUACUUGAGUAAAGCGGAAAAUGUUGUCAACGAAAAGAAGCACAUCUUGUCCUUCAGCAUCACGGAAAUGCUCAGCAACAGUAAGUCCAGUAAGACCGACACGGGCACGAGCACCAGGGGGCUCAUUCAUUUGACCGUAGACAAGAGCACAUUUGCUCUCACUCUGCAUUAAAAAACCAUAAUUAAUAACUUUAAUACAUGAAAAUAGUAUGAACAAUAUUAUUGAGUGUGGAUCAUGAAUUAAAGCACUGUGUUCACCUGCUUUUCACCCAGCUUAAUGACACCACUCUCAAUCAUUUCUCUGUACAAGUCAUUACCCUCUCGGGUUCUUUCUCCAACACCAGCAAACACAGAGAAACCACCUAUUAUAUGGAAAUACUCAGCAUACAGCAUAGAAAAAACGCAUCUCAAUAAGAAUGAGUUAAGUGCUAAAGCAUUAACUUAGGAUAUACCAUGAGCCUUAGCAACAUUGUUGAUAAGUUCCAUAAUAAGAACGGUUUUUCCUACACCAGCACCACCAAACAACCCAAUCUUCCCUCCCCUUUGGUAUGGUGCAAGCAGGUCAACAACCUAUAUGAAAAAAAUCAAGCAAAAUUGGUGUAAAGUCAUUAUAUAUUUGCACACAACGAUUUAAGGAAAUGGGAUUGAUGCAUUUACAAUUACCUUGAUACCAGUAACAAGGAUCUGUUGUUCAGUUGCUUGCUCAACAAAAGCAGGAGCUUCUCUAUGAAUAGGCAAAUAAUGCUCGGUAACUAAAGAAAUUCAGAAAAAUUAUCAUCAGUUGAAAAUCACUAUGGAAUUGAUAGAAAUACUUUAUUAAAUCAAUUAGACUAUUUUUUUUUAAGAGGUUUCUUACUGAAUUCGCCUUUAUGAUCAAUAGGUUCUCCAAUAACAUUCAUGAUACGUCCAAGGGUAGCCCUGCCAACGGGAACCUAAAUGCAAUACACACAUAUGUUAAACGAUACUGACAGACACAGUAAUCAAAAGUAAACACCAAUGGGGGGACAAUUCCGUGGUUGCAAAAUUAAAGUCCAAAAGAAAGUCAAAUUGGAGCAAAUGGAUCACAUCACAUUCACGAGAGCAAUAUAACUAUAUAGCUAUGUAGCACUGACACAGUAACACAGACACAUGUGGUUUCAUUUUAUACUUUUAAUUGCAAAAAGAUCCCAUUUCAAAUAUGUACAGAGUACAACUUUGUAUUUAAAAGUGAUUACAGUAAAUUAAACAGAUAAAUUGCCCAAGCCAGACAGGCCCUAAUCUUAAUUUCAACGAAUAUAAAACAAUAUGACAUUGAAAAUUGACUACAAAGACCCCAUUUUUCGAGGAUUGACAUCAUUAUUCAUCCAAUUGAUAGCAGGAUGCAGACAACCAAUAGCUCAUAACACUAAAUCCAUUUCUUCCAAUAAUUAUAAAGCAUCAAACUCAGCAUCCACGAUCAAAAACAAUAAAAACAAAAUCAAAUUUUCUUCAAGAGAAUCAAAUCUUAAUGAAUUACGUAAUUACAUAAUGAGGAAAAACACAUCUAGAUCCAUGAAACGCAACUUAAAAUUCAAACCGCAAUGAUUUCAAAAUCAGAUCUCACAAACAGUAAAAACUCCAACUAAGUCAAAAAAUUCAGAAAUGAAAAUUGAAUCAAAAAAAUUGAAUAGAUAUUUACACUGAUGGGAGAACCGGUGUUAAGAACACGCCAUCCACGAACAACACCUUCAGUAGCAUCCAUAGCAAUCGUUCUCACAACACCUUCACCCAAAUGCUGAGCAACUUCCAACACCAAUCUCGAAGAAUGAUCUAGAACUUCAAGAGCAGUCAAGAUCGGAGGCAAACCUUCUUCAAAUCUGACGUCAACGACGGCACCAAUAACCUGACAAACUUGACCGACCGCUCCUUUUCCAGUAAAUUCAUCAGUAAUUUUCCCACCUCCGGGAACCUCCUUCUUCGCCGGAGGCGCAGACGGAGCUGGUGCGGCGGCAGCCGCGGUUGCAUAAUCAGCGACGCGGUUUAAGAGGUAGCCAUAAGGUGAAGCGCGAGAUUGGGAGGUUAGCCUCGAUGUUGAGGCAGUGAUUGAUGGUUUCGAUGAAGAUCGGCGAAGGGAAGAUCGAAUCAGAGAUGAUACCAAUCUGCGUGAAGCCAUCUUCGAUGAGAGAGAAAGAGAAUGAAGAUGCUAGGGUUUGUGAAGUGAGAGAGUAGUGACACACUAUAUAGCGUUAUUGCAAAAUGAAAAAGCUUUAUUCUUGCAUUUUCACCUCGAUUCUUUUUCCAUUUUUCAUUUUCGACCCCUUUGUUUCUUAUUUUUUCUUUACACCGUGAAAUUUAAUUUAAUAUGUUAAUAAUGAAUAAUAAUUUUGGAGUAUAUGGUAGAUAAUUAAAAAAAAUUAUACGAUUAAAUUACUAGCAUAAAAUAAAAUUGACCAAAAGAAUAUGUUUGAUCACUCUCCAAAAUUAUGCUUCAUUCAUAUCACACACCAACCAAUUGUUGUGGCUAGUUUUGUGACAAAUAACACAACGGUCAAAAAAAUUAAAAUGAAAGGAAUUGUAUCGGACAAAAUUGUAAUAAAAAUUAAAGAGAUCCUAAAUUAUUAAAAAAAGGAUUAAGAGAAGCUCAAAUUUGUGUGAAAUGUGAUUAAUUAAGCCGCAUUUUCCUUAGCAAUCUUCUCUGCCUUUGCAAUGACUUCAUCAAUACCACCAACCAUGUAAAAUGCUUGUUCUGAAAGGUCAUCGUAUUUGCCAUCCAACACACCCUGCAUUGGUUCAUAGAGAAAAUCAGGUCAAAUUGUUUGUGGAUUGCAUCAAUAGAAACAAACUGAACACAGUCUUGGAGAAAAUUAUAGAAAUAAUCUAAUAAAUGACAUGAUAUGAGAUAAGAUUGGACUCAUAUGUAAACCUUAACUUAAACAAACACUCUAAACCCUUAUAAUAAGCUUCGAGUAUUGAAAAGAAAAUUCCUAUGGAAUAGGUUCAUCAUAUUAGAUAGUGAAGUGUAUAAUUUCUAGUAAGAUGAUAUUGAUAAAGAAGGAGCAAAAGAUAAGCAACUUCCAAACAAAUCUGGCAGGCAAUGCUUUGAAAGUAAAGAGUAAAAACACAUAUCAGAAGAUGAUAAUCUACCACCGGUAGAAAAAAUGAAAUGACAAUAAUCAAAUAAGUUCCUGGAAACUAAUACUAGUAUUUCUGAUCAUAAGAAGGAAAGCAUGGAGAGAAAAGUAAACAAAAAAGUACCUUGAAACUAGUACAGUUCUCUUUCAAGUCAACAUAUUUGCCAGGGGCACCAGUGAAGACUUCUGCCACAUGGAAGGGCUGACUUAAGAAUCGUUGAAUUUUACGAGCACGUGCAACGGUCAAUUUAUCAUCUUCACUUAGUUCAUCCAUUCCCAAAAUAGCAAUGAUAUCUUGAAGAUUCUUGUAAUUUUGAAGUACUUGUUGUACACCUCGAGCAGUUUCGUAAUGCUCAUCACCCAAAAUAAGUGGUGAAAGCAUACGAGAUGUUGAAUCCAAUGGAUCAACAGCAGGAUAGAUACCAAGCUCAGAGAUCUAUAUGUUCAAUAUAUAUCCAAAUCACAUUAUUUAGUUAAUGAUAACAACCAAAAAUAUCAUCACAAUUGCCAUUUUAGUUUAAUUAAUUAAUAUUAACAUAAUGAUCGAACCUGUCUUGACAACACCGUCGUAGCAUCCAAGUGAGCAAAGGUGGUAGCAGGAGCAGGAUCUGUCAAGUCAUCAGCAGGCACAUAGAUGGCUUGGACAGAGGUAAUUGAACCCUUCUUGGUGGUUGUAAUACGCUCUUGAAGACCUCCAAGAUCAGUAGACAACGUUGGUUGAUAAC